rnacentral:rRNA from 1 species
GAUGAACGCUGGCGGCGUGCCUAAUACAUGCAAGUCGAGCGAACGGACGAGAAGCUUGCUUUUCUGAUGUUAGCGGCGGACGGGUGAGUAACACGUGGAUAACCUACCUAUAAGACUGGGAUAACUUCGGGAAACCGGAGCUAAUACCGGAUAAUAUUUUGAACCGCAUGGUUCAAAAGUGAAAGACGGUCUUGCUGUCACUUAUAGAUGGAUCCGCGCUGCAUUAGCUAGUUGGUAAGGUAACGGCUUACCAAGGCAACGAUGCAUAGCCGACCUGAGAGGGUGAUCGGCCACACUGGAACUGAGACACGGUCCAGACUCCUACGGGAGGCAGCAGUAGGGAAUCUUCCGCAAUGGGCGAAAGCCUGACGGAGCAACGCCGCGUGAGUGAUGAAGGUCUUCGGAUCGUAAAACUCUGUUAUUAGGGAAGAACAUAUGUGUAAGUAACUGAGCACAUCUUGACGGUACCUAAUCAGAAAGCCACGGCUAACUACGUG